AAAAGUCGUAACAAGGUCUCCGUUGGUGAACCAGCGGAGGGAUCAUUAAAGAGUUGCAAAACUCCCUUAAACCAUCGUGAACGUACCUCUGAACAGUUGCUUCGGCAGGCCGGCCCCCCCGGGGUGCCGCCAAAGGCCUGCCGAAGGUACCCAAACCAUUGUUUUUACAGGCCUCUCUGAGUAUCGUACUUAAUAAGUCAAAACUUUCAACAACGGAUCUCUUGGUUCUGG
rnacentral:misc_RNA from 1 species